rnacentral:rRNA from 1 species
UACGGAGGGGGCUAGCGUUGUUCGGAAUUACUGGGCGUAAAGCGCACGUAGGCGGUUUUGUAAGCCAGAUGUGAAAUCCCCGGGCUCAACCUGGGAAUGGCAUUUGGGACUGCAAGGCUGGAGUACGGCAGAGGAGACUGGAAUUCCUGGUGUAGCAGUGAAAUGCGUAGAUAUCAGGAGGAAUACCGAUGGCGAAGGCAGGUCUCUGGGCUGAUACUGACGCUCAUGCACGAAAGCGUGGGGAGCAAACAGG